rnacentral:lncRNA from 1 species
AUGAGUUGGCUGCGUGCGAGUAGACUAAAAGUAAAUCCCGCAAAAACUGAGAUACUCUGGUCCGGCCAGCCACCAGAGUUAAUCCAGUCACUGCCUGACUUUGAUGGGGAAGUUCUGGUUCCAUCUGCUACUGUUAAAAGCCUUGGGGUUGUGUUGGACUCAUCGCUGACAAUGGAGGCCCAGAUCACUGCCAUAAGUACGCAGGCCUUUUUUCAUCUUCGUCAGGCAAGGGAAUUGGCAUCCUACCUUUCGACAGAAGCAUUGGCAACAGUAAUCCAUGCAACAGUCACCACUAGGUUGGAUUAUUGUAACGCCUUAUAUGCUGGCCUUCCGAAGACAAAAACCCAGAAGAUCCUAAUGGUCCAAAAUGUGGCAGCCAGGCUGCUAGUGGGAUCAUCUAUAAGAUCCCAUAUUACACCGAUUCUGAAACAACUGCAUUGGCUACCAAUAGAACAUCGGAUCUCUUACAAGAUACUGAUCCUGACAUUUAGAGCUCGAAAUGGCCAAGGACCAUUAUAUCUUAGGGACCGCCUCAUUCCUUUUUUCCAUCAGUGGUCACCUCGAUCCUCCCAGGUGUACCUCCCUAGGGCCCAGUACGUAUAGGAGAUUUUCCUGGGAGGAUCGAGGUGACCACUGAUGGAAAAAAGGAAUGAGGCGGUCCCUAAGAUAUAAUGGUCCUUGGCCAUUUCGAGCUCUAAAUGUCAGGAUCAGUAUCUUGUAAGAGAUCCGAUGUUUUAUUGGUAGCCAAUGCAGUUGUUUCAGAAUCGGUGUAAUAUGGGAUCUUAUAGAUGAUCCCGCUAUCAGCCUGGCUGCCGCAUUUUGGACCAUUCGGAUCUUCUGGGUUUUUGUCUUCGGAAGGCCAGCAUAUAAGGCGUUACAAUAAUCCAACCUACUGGUGACUGUUGCAUGGAUUAUCAUUGCCAAUGCUUCUGUCGAAAGGUAGGAUGCCAAUUUCCUUGCCUGACGAAGAUGAAAAAAGGCCUGCUUACUUAUGGCAGUGAUCUGGGCCUCCAUUGUCAGCGAUGAGUCCAACACAACACCAAGGCUUUUAACAGUAGCAGAUGGAACCAGAACUUCCCCAUCAAAGUCAGGCAGUGACUGGAUUAACUCUGGUGGCUGGCCGGGCCAGAGUAUCUCAGUUUUUGCGGGAUUCACUUUUAGUUUACUCGCUCACAGCCAACUCAUCACUACUUCCCUGGUCACCCUUUGCCUAUGUCAGAAAGGAUGCUCAGUGAUAGCCAGAAACUCUCCUGAAGCUCCAUAGCCAUCUGACAGUGGCAAUAGAGCCAUCCAAGGUAAGGUGGAGUC